UACGUAGGCAGCAAGCGUUGUUCGGAGUUACUGGGCGUAAAGGGUGUGUAGGCGGUUAUUUAAGUUUGGUGUGAAAUCUCCCGGCUCAACCGGGAGGGUGCGCCGAAUACUGAAUGACUUGGAGUGCGGGAGAGGAAAGUGGAAUUCCUGGUGUAGCGGUGAAAUGCGUAGAUAUCGGGAGGAACACCAGUGGCGAAGGCGACUACCUGGCCUGUUUCUUGACGCUGAGGCGCGAAAGCUAGGGGAGCAAACGGGGAUU
rnacentral:rRNA from 1 species